rnacentral:ribozyme from 2 species
UCCUCAAUGCAGCCAUAGCCAGUGACAAGCCUGGGUAAAUGCAGAGUCAAGGA